UACGGGGGGGCAAGCGUUGUUCGGAAUUACUGGGCGUAAAGGGCGCGUAGGCGGCCUGCUAAGUCGGAUGUGAAAUCCCUCGGCUCAACCGAGGAACUGCAUCCGAUACUGGCGGGCUUGAAUCCGGGAGAGGGAUGUGGAAUUCCAGGUGUAGCGGUGAAAUGCGUAGAUAUCUGGAGGAACACCGGUGGCGAAGGCGGCAUCCUGGACCGGUAUUGACGCUGAGGCGCGAAAGCUAGGGGAGCAAAC
rnacentral:rRNA from 1 species